CACGUAGUUAGCCGGUGCUUCUUUACCCAUUACCGUCACCCACGCUUCGUCACAGGCGAAAGCGGUUUACAACCCGAAGGCCGUCAUCCCGCACGCGGCGUUGCUGCAUCAGGCUUCCGCCCAUUGUGCAAUAUUCCCCACUGCUGCCUCCCGUAGGAGUCUGGGCCGUAUCUCAGUCCCAAUGUGGCCGGUCACCCUCUCAGGCCGGCUACCCGUCAAAGCCUUGGUAAGCCACUACCCCACAACAAGCUGAUAAGCCGCGAGUCCAUCCCCAACCGCCGAAACUUUCCAACCCCCACCACUGCAGCAGGAGCCCCUAUCCGGUAUUAGCCCCAGUUUCCUGAAGUUAUCCCAAAGUCAAGGGCAGGUUACUCACGUGUUACUCACCCGUUCGCCACUCGAGCACCCCACAAAAGCAGGGCCUUUCCGUUCGACUUGCAUGUGUUAAGCACGCCGCCAGCGUUCGUCCUCGAGCCAGGAGUCAAACCUCUA
rnacentral:rRNA from 1 species